GGUAGGGAGCCAAAGUGUCUUCAGGAAGGACACCAGGCAAUGAAAUAGAAGGUAGCAACUGGGUGGAGCAGGAAGUGGUUCUACCUUUGUGUCAGUUUCACCUUUCAGGAAGUGUCCUGGACAGAAGGAUCUUGAAUCACAGUCAGCAGGUCAGCUAGAGAGCCAUGUGACACCAAGAACACUGCUGCAAGCAAUCCCAGUGAAACUCCCAGAGUCCAGCCUCCUGCCUCCAGGCGAGUCCAACUAAAACACAAUCUUGGCUCGAAAGAAAAAGGCAUGUUACCAUCCAACUUUGCCACUUGAAAUGAAACUAGAAAAACAUCCUGAGAACAGAGAAGCCAUUCUUCACUGGGCUACAGCGGAAGGAGUACCCUGCUCAUCCCUCCCUGGCUUCAGGAGCACACAGGCAUCCAGCCGUUGCUCCAUCCCCCGGCAGCUGAUGCCCAGACAUGCGGCCACUGCGGCCGAGCCCAGGGGUCCCAGGGCUUCGGCCAGAAGAUCAAACACGCCCAGCUCACAGGCAGUGAAGAGAACCAGUUACGGAAACAAGGAGAUCAUUUAG
rnacentral:lncRNA from 1 species